rnacentral:rRNA from 1 species
UACGGGGGGAGCAAGCGUUGUUCAGAUUUACUGGGCGUAAAGGGCGCGUAGGCGGUCGUGACAAGUCACUUGUGAAAUCUCCGGGCUUAACUCGGAACGGUCAAGUGAUACUGUCGGACUAGAGUACAGAAGGGGCAACUGGAAUUCUCGGUGUAGCGGUGAAAUGCGUAGAUAUCGAGAGGAACACCUGCGGCGAAGGCGGGUUGCUGGGCUGAUACUGACGCUGAGGCGCGAAAGCCAGGGGAGCGAACGGG